rnacentral:rRNA from 1 species
AGCUCCAAUAGCGUAUAUUAAAGUUGUUGCGGUUAAAAAGUUCGUAGUUGGAUUUCUGCCAAGGACGACCGGUCCGCCCUCUGGGUGAGUAUCUGGCUCGGCCUGGGCAUCUUCUUGGAGAACGUUGCUGCACUUGAUUGUGUGGUGCGGUAUCCAGGACCUUUACUUUGAGGAAAUUAGAGUGUUUCAAGCAGGCCAUCGCCUUGAAUACAUUAGCAUGGAAUAAUAAGAUAGGACCUCGGUUCUAUUUUGUUGGUUUCUAGAGCUGAGGUAAUGAUUAAUAGGGAUAGUUGGGGGCAUUCGUAUUUAGCUGUCAGAGGUGAAAUUCUUGGAUUUGCUAAAGACGGACUACUGCGAAAGCAUUUGCCAAGGAUGUUUUCAUUGAUCAAGAACGAAAGUA